UUUAUUUAAAAAAAAAAAAAAUUCUGAAAAUGAAAGAGCUGUCUCCCUACUUGUGUUAAGUUUGCAUGGUGAAUGGGGACUUGUUAACCAUUUUGCAUUUAUUUUACAUUUUAAUUAAAAAGCUAGAUUCAUUUUUAACUUAAUUCCCAAUGAGGAUGAAUCGAAUUUUUGCUCAAUUAAGUAACUUGUUUCUUUGCUCUGUUUUUCAACUGUUCUCUUUCUCUCCUCCAUCUCUUCCUCUUUUGCUGUGGUGGCGAAGAUUCAUUUUAAUGUUUGUUUUUUUGUUUUUUUUUAAUGGGCUGUAAUAUAAUUGUUAUGGUUUGCUAAUGUUUGUUAAUAGUCUGUAUAAACUUUCAUCUUGUAAUUAUUUAAAUGUUUGUUUGUUAAUGUUUUUUUUUUUUCCCAUCAUAACUGUUAUAUACAUGAUAAAUAUAUUUUAUAGUGUUGUUUUAGGUGAAAUGGAUACAUCUAGCCAUAAUUCAACAGCACACUUUAAUACCCUAUCAUCAACACUGAAGGGCGAGCUCCCGAUGGGAAGAGAACUUUAACAUGUUUGUAUUGUGGGAAAACUAUUAAAGGUGGAGGGAUUAAUAGAAUAAAGCAACAUCUUAUAGGAAAGUCUGGUGAGGUUGGGCCAUGUAAGAAAGUUCCAGGUGAUGUUAUGUAUUGAAUGGAAGAGGCUUUGAAAUCAAUUAUUGAGAAAAAAAAAAGAAGCAAAGUGAGGAAUCUAAUCCCUUUGGUCGGGUUGUUUUUGAAUUUGAGGAUGAUGCUGAAAUUGAAGAAAUAAUUCCACAUAGCAAUAAGGACAUCUUAAUUAAUGAAUGUGGUGAUAGUAGGAAUAAGAGUAAAGCAACAAUGACACAAAAAGGAAAAGGAAAGGAACCUGCAAAAAUUGAUAAUUUUUUUGCACCAAAGACCACUCGGGGCUCUCAACCAUCAAAAGUGUCCUUGCAACUAAAGAAGUUGUACAUAGGGCACAUAUGAUUGUGGGAAAAUUUUUGUAUGAUACAUGUGUUCCAAUGAAUGUUAUCAAUUCCAUAUACUUUUAGCCCAUGUUUGAUGCUGCAAUUGCCAUUGGUCUAGGAUAUAAAGUUCCUAUCUACCAUGAAGUUCGAGUUCCUUUAUUGAAUGACUCAAAGAAAGAGCUUCAAUUGUUUAUUGACUCUACAAAGAGUACUUGGGUUGAUACUGGGUGUACAAUUAUGGGUGAUGGUUGGACUGAUGGUAGACAUAUAACCCUCAUUAAUUUUCUUGUUGCCCUAGAGGAAUCAAUUUUGUUAAAUCUAUUGAUCCCUCCGAUGUUGUAAAAGAUGCUCAUUUUCUUUUUAAAUUGUUUGAAGAAAUUAUUGAGUGGGUGGGAGUGAGCAAUAUUGUGCACAUGGUGGCAAAUAAUGGGGCAAAUUAUGUUGCUGCUAGAAGACUUGUUAGUCAAACGUACAAGAAUAUAAUUGGUCUCCUUAUGCAACACAUUGUUUGAACUUAGUGUUAAGUGAUAUUUCCAAGUUGAAACAUGUGAAAGAGCUUGCCUUUAGAGCAUCAACUGUGACAAGAUUUAUUUAUAAUCGCCCACGGUUGAUAGCUUUGUUGAGCAAAAGGAAGGGAUGAACUGAAAUAGUGCGCCCAGGAACAACCCGUUUUGCCACUACUUUCAUUGCAUUGCAUAGUAUUAAAAAACAUAUGCAUGAUUUGAAAGUUUUAGUGACAAGUAAGGAUUUUGUGGAUUCAAGGCAUGCAAAAGAUAAUAAAGAAAAAGAAGUUGUUGCUAUCAUUUUAGAUAGUAAGUUUCUAAAUGAUUACUUGAUCAAUGUUAAGAUUGUUGAGCCAUUCAUGCGAUUGUUGCGUAUUGUUGAUGGAAAUAAAAAGCCUUCAAUGGGAUAUGUAUAUGAGGGCAUGUAUAGGGCAAGAAUAGCAAUUAAGAAUGUUUUCAUGAAGAAAAAAAAGAUUGUACAAGCCUUAUACAAGUACUGUCAAAGAGCGUUGGGAUAGGACAUUACGCAAAAAUAUCCAUGCUGCAACUUAUUGGCUGAAUCCAGCUUUUCACUAUGAUCAAGCAUUAUUUUGCAAAAAACCAAAGGUUAUGGCAAGUGUGCUUGAUGUGAUUGAAACAAAAGCUACAUGUAGCAAGACAAAACUCUUGGAUGAAGCUAGAUUGUUUCAAGAUCAAUUAGAAAGUUUUGGAAGAGAGUUUGCUACUAUUACAUCCAAGACAAAACACCAGAUGAAUGGUGUGGAGGUUAUUCGGCCACAGUGCUCCGAAUUUGCUAAAGUUGGCUAUUCGAAUUCUUAGCCAAACUAGUAGCUCUUCUGGAUGUGAAAUGAAUUGGAGUGUUUUUGAAUGUAAACAUACAAAGAAGAGGAAUAGAUUGGAACAUUAAAGGCUUAAUGAUCUUGUAUACAUCCAUUAUAAUUUGCGCCUGAAGAAUAGGCAUUUCAACAAAAUGAAUAACUAUGAUCUGGUUGACAUUGAAAGUAUUGACAAAACCGAGUUUUGGAUUGUGGAAGAUGAAGAAGAGCCUCAUCUUCUUGAUUUGGAUGAGUUGAAACAAAUGCUUUAUGAAGAAGGUUUGGCUCCACAAAAUAAGAGGCAAUGUCAUGGUUUACGUGAUGAAGAUGACAAGGAUAAUGUGGUCUUAGAGGUUGGAGAUGAUAUUGACCUUGGAUCAUUUGGUGAUGUCAACGUGGAUGAUAGAUCUAAUGCUUAAAGUGGUGAAAUUGGCAUAAACAACAAUGAAAAUGAGGAUGACGAUGCUUGGCUAAUGGAGGGCUUCCCAAGGAAUUAGGCAAAAAGCAAUGUUUUUGAUGUGUUUAUAGUGGAUCGGUUUUGAACUUUUGUUAUAUAUUUAUUUAUCUACUUUCGUUUAGGAAUGAUGGAUGCUUAUU